rnacentral:rRNA from 1 species
GACGAACGCUGGCGGCGUGCCUAAUACAUGCAAGUAGAACGCUGAAACUUGGUGCUUGCACCGAGCGGAUGAGUUGCGAACGGGUGAGUAACUCGUAGGUAACCUGCCUGGUAGCGGGGGAUAACUAUUGGAAACGAUAGCUAAUACCGCAUAAGAGUAGAUGUUGCAUGACAUUUGCUUAAAAGGUGCAAUUGCACCACUACCAGAUGGACCUGCGUUGUAUUAGCUAGUUGGUGGGGUAACGGCUCACCAAGGCGACGAUACAUAGCCGACCUGAGAGGGUGAUCGGCCACACUGAGACUGAGACACGGCCCAGACUCCUACGGGAGGCAGCAGUAGGGAAUCUUCGGCAAUGGACGGAAGUCUGACCGAGCAACGCCGCGUGAGUGAAGAAGGUUUUCGGAUCGUAAAGCUCUGUUGUAAGAGAAGAACGAGUGUGAGAGUGGAAAGUUCACACUGUGACGGUAUCUUACCAGAAAGGGACGGCUAACUACGUG